CAAACGUGACCAGAAAUUCGAUCCCAGUCAGGAUCGAUCGCGGCCAAAAGUGUGCAGUGUGACAACCGUAUUAAAUGUCGCUUGUGUACUUGCACUCGUUUUGUUUUUAUUUUUUGUCCCAGGUCACGUGGUAGGUAAUGACGCAGGUAGCUUGCAAUGCUUGUGCUUUCAUCGCUAGAACUAAUACAAAAGAACCACAACCAUCCCGGCUAUGUGGUUAUCCUUCGUUUUCAGUUGUACUCGUUUGUUCUAGAAGCUUUCGUGCCGUUGCGGAUGAACGCGUGGUUGCGCUAUUUGUUUAUGAAUUUAUCUUUGUGUAAAUAAGUACAUCGAGCCUAAUCAUUUUUUUCUCGACCUUGAACUCGUUUUUUGAUUUCACGCACGCAUGCUUACUACUACUACUAUUUGUUUUCUUGUUGUACGACUGAACCCUGCCUAAGGCGUCCUGUCAGUGGUCGACAGUAUUUCUGAAAUGAACUGCACUGAACAUCCUACGGUUAUUCUACGUUUCACUACCUUAUUCUAAUGUCUAGUUAUAAAGCGUAUGGUUAUUGUAACUAUUCUUGGCUUGUAUAUAUGUAUGUAUUAAGCUGGUAAAUGCUUAAUUGUGUUUGCAGGUUUGAGAGCUUCUUUUAUUAAGUGGUCAAUCUCGGGUGGUAUUAAUGGUGAGUUGUUUUCUUGUGCCCAUGCAGUUAGUCAGCAUGAAGCAAUUGCAUGGGAACCGGCCGAUUGUCUUGGGCCUACACAUUGCUCAAAAGACAGUGAAGGUGUCUGAGCCGACAGGUAGAAAACAAGCAGAUGGCUACAGCGAUCAAUGAAGAAAUGGCUUCAUCUAUGAUGGCUCGCCUUGGGACAUUGGAAUGGAGCUACACAAAGGCAUCACCAGCCUCGCCUGUGCCCUGGAACAUUGGUUUGAAUAAGACUGUUCUUCAGUGUAGAACGACCACAAGACUUGUCACCACAUACAAGGCGUAGUGCAAGCUCUAAAUAUUGUACAGGUGGCUAGAAUAAAUGACCCUCCAUGCAGUCA